GACGAACGCUGGCGGCGUGCCUAAUACAUGCAAGUAGAACGCAGUUGCGAACGGGUGAGUAAGGCGUAGGUAACUGCAUCAUAGCGGGGGGUCACUAUUGGAAACGAUAGCUAAUACCGCAUACUGUGCGAAGGACCUGCGUUGUAUUAGCUAGUUGGUGAGGUAAAGGCUCACUAAAGCGACGAUACAUAGCCGACCGGAGAGGCGGAUCGGACACAGUUGUACGGCGACACGGCCGAGACUCCUACGGGAGGACGCAGUAGAGACACUUCGGCAAUGGACGGAGGUGUGGCCGAGCAACGCCGCGUUAGUGACGAAGGUGUGCGGAUCGUAAAGCUCUGUUGUUAGAGAAGCGGUAACUAGCCAGAAAGGGGCGGCUGACUACGUGCCAGCAGCCGCGGUAAUUC
rnacentral:rRNA from 1 species